rnacentral:rRNA from 1 species
GACGAACGCUGGCGGCGUGCUUAACACAUGCAAGUCGAACGGAAAGGCCCUGCUUUUGUGGGGUGCUCGAGUGGCAAACGGGUGAGUAACACGUGAGUAACCUGCCCUUGACUUUGGGAUAACUUCAGGAAACUGGGGCUAAUACCGGAUAGGAGCUCCUGCUGCAGGGUGGGGGUUGGAAAGUUUCGGCGGUUGGGGAUGGACUCGCGGCUUAUCAGCUUGUUGGUGGGGUAGUGGCUUACCAAGGCUUUGACGGGUAGCCGGCCUGAGAGGGUGACCGGCCACAUUGGGACUGAGAUACGGCCCAGACUCCUACGGGAGGCAGCAGUGGGGAAUAUUGCACAAUGGGCGGAAGCCUGAUGCAGCAACGCCGCGUGCGGGAUGACGGCCUUCGGGUUGUAAACCGCUUUCGCCUGUGACGAAGCGUGAGUGACGGUAAUGGGUAAAGAAGCACCGGCUAACUACGUG